rnacentral:rRNA from 1 species
UACGUAGGGGGCAAGCGUUGUCCGGAAUCAUUGGGCGUAAAGAGCGUGUAGGCGGCCCGGUAAGUCCGUUGUGAAAGUCGAGGGCUCAACCCUCGAAUGCCGGCGGAUACUGUCGGGCUAGAAUCCGGAAGAGGCGAGUGGAAUUCCUGGUGUAGCGGUGAAAUGCGCAGAUAUCAGGAGGAACACCAAUGGCGAAGGCAGCUCGCUGGGACGGUAUUGACGCUGAGACGCGAAAGCGUGGGGAACAAACAGG